AAAGGUAGCCGGGCACAUAAAAGCUUCUAACUUUUUAUAGAUGGUUCAACUCCAUUAACCUUUU
rnacentral:tRNA from 1 species